rnacentral:lncRNA from 1 species
CCUCCCAAGGUCCUAUUGGCCCAGGUGGCUGGUUCUGUUGCAUUGUCCUUUCCUCAUUGGUGUGUCUGGUCAGGUGUCUCUUAGUCAGCAGUCUCUAUGCAUAGAGGCAGGCUUGGCUCAGGCAGGAAGUGCCUGCUGAGUAUGCUCAUGCCAGCUGGCCGCUUGGGUAGGCUGGCUGCAGCUUCUCCUACACCAAGGGGUGUCAUAGACAACACUCACCGUGGAUAAUGAGGCUGGCAUCAGAGCACCUGGCUCAGAAGUACAUAGAACGGCACACUGCAGAGAAUUAGGUGGUAUACAAGGAUGGGUAGUUUUGGCCAAAGGAACUGUGGCACAUGUGAGGACUACAUGGAACAGUGUGGCAGUAGGAGGAACCAGGGAGGAUGGUGGACAUAUACCACUGUCAUACAUGGAAGUGGCCAGAGGAAAGAGGCCAGCAGAACAGGACAGAGGAAGGGGGGGAGAGGAAAUGUCUGUUGUGGAUUGUAAAUGUCUGCUGUAUGUUCACAUGUUGACGGCUUGGUCUCAAGCAUCAGUGCUCAGAGGUGGGGCCUCUGAGAAAAUUAGCAGAUCAGAAGGGCUGUGACCCCAUCAGUGGGUUAAUUCUGGCUUAGUGGGGUGUUGGGAGGAAGUAGGUCAUGAGGGGUGUAAAUUUUAAAGUGAUAUUUUGGCAUCAGGGUGCGAUGUCUCUCCUGAACCUCUUCCCAUCUCUCUCUCCCACUCCCCAUUCCUCCCUCUCUCUUCCUCCUCCCUCCUCCUGUGUCUCAUGUGUCUUUCCUGGCCACUAUGAGGUGAGUGUCUUUGCUCCGCCAUGCACUUCCCCAUGAUGUCUGCCUCACCUCAGGCCCCCAAACAAUGGAGUCAAUGGACCAUGUACCGAAAUCUCUGAAAACACGAGCCACACUUACCUUUUCUCCUUUAAGUCGAUCUCCUCAAGGUGAUUGGUCACAGGGCUGGGAAGCUGAUUGGCAUAAAGAUAUGCAGAGAGACCCAAGAGAGAAAAGGGGUGUAGAUAAAGAGGAUCAUUGAAUCAUAGUUGUCCUGCCUGGAACAGACAUAGGACCCAAGUAGUGAUGGCCCAUUCAUGUGUCAUACAGCUGGAGAAUGACAAAUAAUAUGCAAGAGAGAACGUCUAUUGCAUCAUCUUUGCAGAAUAACGUCAGAAUCAGCAUGUGUGUGUGUGCGCGCGUGCGCGCGUGUGUGCACGUGUACAUGUGUGCGGGCUUGUGUGUGUAUGUGUGUGUGCGUGUACGUGUGCGUGCACGUGUGUGUGUGUGUGUGUGUGUGUGUGUGUGUGUGUGUGUGUGUGUGUGUGUGUGUGUGUGUGUGUGUAGGGGUGGUCCUCAUAGGUACAGAGCGAGAUGGGUACUCCUACUCCCAAGCAACCCCACUGUGCAUUUCCUGAUGUGCACAUGAAACUUGUGGAAUUCCAAGUUUCUAAAUACCCCAGUUCUAGGCUCCUCUCUUGAUGGUGUCAGCCUUUCACUUCUUGAGCUGAUUCUGGCAUUCAGAUCUUGACUGGAGUCACCUCAGAGCUCUGUUGCUCCAGGCAGCCGGCUUUCAUCAGUUACUCGCAAGUGGACACAGCCUGGCUCUGUGGUGUUUCCUAGUGUCUUCCCUCAGCUGUGUGGCAUCAACAAAGUCCCCUUUCAUUUCAGAGGGUCACCGUCUGCCAGCCCUUGAGUGAGGGUGCAUUGCUGUUACUUGCCAGAGGAGGCCCAGUCACCACGUGAAAGCCUUAGUCUUGUGACAGAAAGCGGCACUGUGGGCUUCUCAGUGUGACCCUAUAAAUGUGGAUGUUGGAGGACAUGGGGACGACUCUGGACCCUGAUCACACACUUCAGUACUUGCCUGCUCAGACGCUCUGGGAAUGGUGUAAUCGAGCUCCCACAGUCGCAGCUGUGCUCCCUGUUUGGGCUGAAAGACCAAACAGGAGGCCUGAGACACUGAGAGGUUUCCAUUUGUGUGAGAAUGGGGGCUGACCAUUUGGUGUCGGAUAACCAAUCAGUGUGCUGUUCCCCAAGGAAGAAUAUUUCUCCCACUCUCAGUGUUCCUUGGUUACCUGCAGUUCUUCGUGUAGGAUGGAGGCCUCGUGGGCUUUAUCUGUCCACAUUAGCAUGUCUGUUGUUGUUGUCCUUGUUCUUCUCAUGUUUAGGCAGUCAUGUUGGGCUGGUAGUUCUGUGUGCUAUGAGACAAACUGAGUAAGCCAAGAGUGGGUCAGUCCAGUAAGCUUCACUCAUCACCCCAUGACCUCUGCAUCAAUUCCUUCCCUGCUUACAUUUCUACCCUGAAUUCCUUCAAUAAUGGAUUGGAAUUGGAAGCAAAAUAAAC